UUGAAGAGUUUGAUCAUGGCUCAGAUUGAACGCUGGCGGCAGGCCUAACACAUGCAAGUCGAGCGGUAGCACAGAGAGCUUGCUCUCGGGUGACGAGCGGCGGACGGGUGAGUAAUGUCUGGGAAACUGCCUGAUGGAGGGGGAUAACUACUGGAAACGGUAGCUAAUACCGCAUAACGUCGCAAGACCAAAGAGGGGGGGGGGACCUUCGGGCCUCUUGCCAUCAGAUGUGCCCAGAUGGGAUUAGCUAGUAGGUGGGGUAACGGCUCACCUAGGCGACGAUCCCUAGCUGGUCUGAGAGGAUGACCAGCCACACUGGAACUGAGACACGGUCCAGACUCCUACGGGAGGCAGCAGUGGGGAAUAUUGCACAAUGGGCGCAAGCCUGAUGCAGCCAUGCCGCGUGUAUGAAGAAGGCCUUCGGGUUGUAAAGUACUUUCAGCGGGGAGGAAGGCGAUAAGGUUAAUAACCUUGUCGAUUGACGUUACCCGCAGAAGAAGCACCGGCUAACUCCGUGCCAGCAGCCGCGGUAAUACGGAGGGUGCAAGCGUUAAUCGGAAUUACUGGGCGUAAAGCGCACGCAGGCGGUCUGUCAAGUCGGAUGUGAAAUCCCCGGGCUCAACCUGGGAACUGCAUUCGAAACUGGCAGGCUAGAGUCUUGUAGAGGGGGGUAGAAUUCCAGGUGUAGCGGUGAAAUGCGUAGAGAUCUGGAGGAAUACCGGUGGCGAAGGCGGCCCCCUGGACAAAGACUGACGCUCAGGUGCGAAAGCGUGGGGAGCAAACAGGAUUAGAUACCCUGGUAGUCCACGCCGUAAACGAUGUCGACUUGGAGGUUGUGCCCUUGAGGCGUGGCUUCCGGAGCUAACGCGUUAAGUCGACCGCCUGGGGAGUACGGCCGCAAGGUUAAAACUCAAAUGAAUUGACGGGGGCCCGCACAAGCGGUGGAGCAUGUGGUUUAAUUCGAUGCAACGCGAAGAACCUUACCUACUCUUGACAUCCAGAGAACUUUCCAGAGAUGGAUUGGUGCCUUCGGGAACUCUGAGACAGGUGCUGCAUGGCUGUCGUCAGCUCGUGUUGUGAAAUGUUGGGUUAAGUCCCGCAACGAGCGCAACCCUUAUCCUUUGUUGCCAGCGGUUAGGCCGGGAACUCAAAGGAGACUGCCAGUGAUAAACUGGAGGAAGGUGGGGAUGACGUCAAGUCAUCAUGGCCCUUACGAGUAGGGCUACACACGUGCUACAAUGGCGCAUACAAAGAGAAGCGACCUCGCGAGAGCAAGCGGACCUCAUAAAGUGCGUCGUAGUCCGGAUUGGAGUCUGCAACUCGACUCCAUGAAGUCGGAAUCGCUAGUAAUCGUAGAUCAGAAUGCUACGGUGAAUACGUUCCCGGGCCUUGUACACACCGCCCGUCACACCAUGGGAGUGGGUUGCAAAAGAAGUAGGUAGCUUAACCUUCGGGAGGGCGCUUACCACUUUGUGAUUCAUGACUGGGGUGAAGUCGUAACAAGGUAACCGUAGGGGAACCUGCGGUUGGAUCACCUCCUU
rnacentral:rRNA from 1 species